rnacentral:rRNA from 1 species
UACGUAGGGUGCAAGCGUUGUCCGGAAUUAUUGGGCGUAAAGAGCUCGUAGGCGGCUUGUCACGUCGGAUGUGAAAGCCCGAGGCUUAACCUCGGGUCUGCAUUCGAUACGGGCUAGCUAGAGUGUGGUAGGGGAGAUCGGAAUUCCUGGUGUAGCGGUGAAAUGCGCAGAUAUCAGGAGGAACACCGGUGGCGAAGGCGGAUCUCUGGGCCGAUACUGACGCUGAGGAGCGAAAGCGUGGGGAGCGAACAGG